rnacentral:rRNA from 1 species
CGGUAAUACGUAGGUGGCAAGCGUUGUCCGGAAUUACUGGGUGUAAAGGGAGCGUAGGCGGGAUGCCAAGUCAGCUGUGAAAACUAUGGGCUUAACUUGUAGACUGCAGUUGAAACUGGUAUUCUUGAGUGAAGUAGAGGUUGGCGGAAUUCCGAGUGUAGCGGUGAAAUGCGUAGAUAUUCGGAGGAACACCGGUGGCGAAGGCGGCCAACUGGGCUUUAACUGACGCUGAGGCUCGAAAGUGUGGGGAGCAAACAGGAUUAGAUACCCUGGUAGUCCACACUGUAAACGAUGAUAACUAGGUGUGGGGGGUCUGACCCCUUCCGUGCCGCAGCUAACGCAAUAAGUUAUCCACCUGGGGAGUACGACCGCAAGGUUGAAACUCAAAGGAAUUGACGGGGACCCGCACAAGCAGUGGAUUAUGUGGUUUAAUUCGAAGCAACGCGAAGAACCUUACCAGCACUUGACAUCCGACUAACGAAGUAGAGAUACAUUAGGUGCCCUUCGGGGAAAGUCGAGACAGGUGGUGCAUGGUUGUCGUCAGCUCGUGUCGUGAGAUGUUGGGUUAAGUCCCGCAACGAGCGCAACCCCUGCCAUUAGUUGCUACGCAAGAGCACUCUAAUGGGACCGCUACCGACAAGGUGGAGGAAGGUGGGGACGACGUCAAAUCAUCAUGCCCCUUAUGUGCUGGGCUACACACGUAAUACAAUGGCCAUCAACAAAGAGAAGCAAUACCGCGAGGUGGAGCAAAACUAUAAAAAUGGUCUCAGUUCGGACUGCAGGCUGCAACCCGCCUGCACGAAGUUGGAAUUGCUAGUAAUCGUGGAUCAGCAUGCCACGGUGAAUACGUUCCCGGGUCUUGUACACACCGCCCGUCACACCAUGGGAGUUGGUAACACCCGAAGUCAGUAGUCUAACCGCAAGGAGGACGCUGCCGAAGGUGGGAUUGACGACUGGGGUGAAGUCGUAACAAGGUAGCCGUAUCAGAAGGUGCGGCUG